rnacentral:tRNA from 1 species
GCCCAGGUAGCUCAGUUGGUUGAGCACAUGACUGAAAAUCAUGAUGCCGGUUCGAUUCCGUCCUUGGCAUCA